rnacentral:rRNA from 1 species
CUGGGAUUAGAUACCCCACUAUGCCUUACCGUAAAAUAUUAACCACAUUUACCAACGCCCGGGUAUUACGAGCUUAAGCUUAAAACCCAAAGGACUUGACGGUGUCCCACCCCCCUAGAGGAGCCUGUUCUAUAAUCGAUAAUCCCCGCUACACCUCACCAUUUUUAGCCUUUCAGCCUGUAUACCUCCGUCGCAAGCUUACCAUGUGAACGUUACCAGUAAGCCCAAUGGCCCUCCCACCAAUACGUCAGGUCAAGGUGCAGCUCAUGAAAUGGAAAGCAAUGGGCUACAAUUUCUAACAUAGAACAAACGAAAAACUGCAUGAAACACAGCUAUGAAGGUGGAUUUAGUAGUAAAAAGAAAUCAGAGAGUUCUUUUUAACCCGGCACUGGGAUGUGUACACACCGCCCGUCACC